AGAGUUUGAUCCUGGCUCAGGGUGAAUGCUAGCGGCGUGCUUAAGAUAUGCAAGUUGAACGCGCCUAUGCUCUUUACUGCGUAAAGAGCUUCGGCGCCGCAGGCGCACUAUUAAAGAUGGGUGAGCUUGCUGCGCCAGAGCUCAUGCGUAGCAAUGAGCGUAGGCGAGUGGCGGACGGCUGAGUAACACGUAGAAAUCUACCCCUAUCCCGGGUAUAACUCAUCGAAAGAUGGGCUAAUCCCCGAUAGUCCACGUGCAUUUAUGUUAUGUGGUAAAGAUUUAUCGGAUAAGGAUGAGUCUGCGGCCUAUCAGGUAGUUGGUGGGGUAAAUGCCCACCAAGCCCAUGACGGGUAGCUGGUGUUAGCGCAUGUCCAGCCAGAAAGGCACUGAGACACGGGCCUUACCCCUACGGGAGGCAGCAAUCGGGAAUCUUGCACAAUGGACGAAAGUCUGAUGCAGCGACGCCGCGUGAGGGAUGAAUGCCUUCGGGUUGUAAACCUCGUUUAAGCACCGGCUAACUACGUGCCAGCAGCAGCGGUCAUACGUAGGGUGCCAGCAUUACCCGGUGUUACUGGGCGUAAAGAGUUCUGUAGGCGGAUCUGCAAGUCAGAGGUCAAAUACUUCGGCUCAACUGAAGUAAUGCUUUUGAUACUGUAGAUCUGGAGGCAACUAGGGGGUAGCGGAACGUAUGGUGUAGCGGUGAAAUGCGUUGAUAUCAUACGGAACACCAAGGGGGAAGCCAGCUACCUGGGGUUGAUCUGACGCUGAGAGACGAAAGCGUGGGGAGCAAAACGGAUUAGAUACCCGUGUAGUCCACGCCCUAAACUAUGCCUGCUAGAUGCUCCAUUUAUUUGGGGUGUCAAAGUUAACGCGUUAAGCAGGCCGCCUGGGGAGUACAAUCGCAAGGUUAAAACUCAAACGGAAUUGGCGGGGACCCGCACAAGCGGUGGAGCAUGCUCUUUAAUUGGCUGAUAACCCAAGAACCUUACCAGGACUUGACAUUCUUCGAGUAGCGAUCCGAAAGGUGAGCGACCCGUAUCCAGUCGGGAAGAUGAACAGGUGUUGCAUGGCUGUCGUCAGCUCGUACCGUGAGGCGUACCCUUAAGUGGGUCAACGAGCGCAACCCCUACUGUUAGUUGUAUCACUCUAACGGAACUGCCUCGGCAACGGGGAGGAAGGUGGGGACGACGUCAAGUCAGUAUUGCCCUUACGUCCUGGGCGAGAAGCAUGCUACAAUGGCCGGCACAACGAGUUGCGAUACCGCGAGGUGGAGCUAAUCUCUAAAAACCGGUCUCAGUUCGGAUUGGAGUCUGCAAUUCGACUCCAUGAAGUUGGAAUCGCUAGUAAUCGCAGGUCAGCUAUACUGCGGUGAAUACGUUCUCGGGCCUUGCACACACCG
rnacentral:rRNA from 1 species